CAGCCGCCGCGGGAAUACGUAGGAGGCAAGCGUUGUCCGGAAUUAUUGGGCGUAAAGCGCGCGCAGGCGGAUCAGUUAGUCUGUCUUAUAAGUUCGGGGCUUAACCCCGUGAUGGGAUGGAAACUGCUGAUCUAGAGUAUCGGAGAGGAAAGUGGAAUUCCUAGUGUAGCGGUGAAAUGCGUAGAUAUUAGAAAGAACACCAGUGGCGAAGGCGGCUUUCUGGACGAAAACUGACGCCGAGGCGCGAAAGCCAGGGGAGCGAACGGGAUUAGAUACCCGGGUAGUCCCUGUCUCUUAUACA
rnacentral:rRNA from 1 species